UGGUGGCUUUGCAGGUGGCUGCAGGGUGCUGGGUUGUGAGGAAAAGCUGUAUGCUGAGGGGGAGGAGCGCCUGUGUGAGGCGUUGGGAGUUCCCUGCAGACUUAGUUUGUUUAAAAACAAGAAGAAGGGUUUUCAGCAGCCAAACUAGAUAACCUGCAUUCCAGAGAUACUGGCAAGUUUGUGUGUCUUCCUUAGCGGGACAGGAGGGCUCGCUCCCCAGCCAGCACAGCAGCUCCUCAAGGUGUGUGUCUGAACAACAUACUUUCAGGAGUAGCUUCAGUUGUUUCUUUCCCUUCCCAUUUUAUUCUUCGUAAUGUGUAAAGUACUGAAUUCUUGAGAUUAAAAAAUAAUAAUUGCAUGUAAUCAGUGCUGUAGCUCAGUCUCCCCACUGCUGGUGUUAAUCAGGCCAAGAGUUUAAUGUGGCCUUGGUCAUGUGCUAAGUGCUAAGCUCCCGCCCUUCGCUCUUUCUGGGGUGUUAAUGUUUCUGUUCCCUAUGUAGCCUCUGUCUGCUACAGGUUUUUCACUGUAUCAAUGCCCGCAGCUCGCGUCUCCUUUGAGCUGUCCCAAAUUCCCAGCCCCCUCGUUCUGCACUCGUGGAGCAGCUUGUGAGCCACCACCAGGUCCCCUGACCUAUACAACAGGAAGCGACCAAUUAAAAUUAAUAUGCUGCUAUUACUUUUACGGCAGUCUCAGCUUUGCCAUGUGAAAUUUACUCAUUCCAGUAAAAAGCCUGAACUAUGGCCCAGAAAAUGCAUACGCUUUGAAAAUGACAGGCUUUGUAGCUUAAACGGCAUUGGGAUCUGUGUGCUGGUCUAUUGAAGGCAUGUCCUGGUGGAGCAGAUGUGACAUUGUUACUAGAGCAAGUCAGAUAAACUUAAAUGUGCUGUUAUUAAUGGAUGACUUGUACAGGAAAUUGCAUGUUUAUCUAGAUUAUGUGAGCAGGACGUUUCAGGCUUGAAUCAGUUGCUGGUGCAGAGGUAUCUGCUGCCAUUUCAGGCACCCUCGACUGCCUGAGACAUCGGCACAGGCCUGGGAGGUGCAGCAUGGGGCCACUACAGGCUUGCACCCCUCUGGACUGGCUUCCCCCCUUUUUCUGGUGACAGCAACACCGUGCGGCAUCUCAAAUGACACCAGAUGCCAACGCUUCGGCACUUUUAGCAAGCCAUUCCCACUUCACCUCUGUGCGGCCUCGUCCGUAGAGAUGCUAUAGUGAUUAGGGUUGACUAAGGGUUAUACAGAAAAUAUUAUUUCAGUAGACUUAAAGAUUUUCCAAGUGAGAAAUUGUCAUCCUUCUCUAUGAUUGCACACCUACAGAAGCGAUCGUUUUACGAGAUACAUACAUGCGAUGGAGCAGUUAUUUGGAAAUGCUGGGAAUACAAGGUACACUGCAGUAAUGCCUGUAAGUUUGAGUAUUAAGGAUAAAAUAAUGCAUCUUGCUACUUACAUACAUUACAGCAGUUCGCAGAUUGCUAAUCAAAAUCAGUGAUGAAUAAUAACAUAAAAAAAAAAAAAGUCAAACUCUGCAUCAAAGAUAGUUUAAAGCCUCAGCCUCUGUGCUUGUGCCACAUGUGCAGCUUCCUCCCCGCAGCAGUGCCUGGCUGUGCCGGAUUCAGGAGAGCUCCGUGUGGCAAAGGGAUCCGCCUGUCGGAUUAGUGGCUAAAUGAGGCCAGGCUGUAACGUGAGGCAUUGCACACAACAGCAAGGAUGGGCUGAGGGGCAGAUAAGAGUACCAGUUAGAAAAUACCACGUUGCCUUAAUUAAUUCUGUGUAAGGUUUUCAGGAUUUAAUUUGGAAUGUUAAAAACAUCCUCCUGGGUCAGACCAAUGAUACCUUUAGCCCCCAUAACCUGUCUCCAGUGGUGGCAACCGGAGGUGCUCUUUGGGCAAGCAUGUGAGCCAGGGUACCUGCUGCUGUCCAUUUCCCUCUCCAGUUAAAGGGUGCGUCCUUGCCCUUUUAGUAGCCAUUUAUGGACCUGUUGCUUGUGAACUCACGUAAUCCCUUUUAACCUUUCUGAUACUGUCUCCAGUCUUCUGUGGCACCAGAUACUGGACUUAUGUGAAAAAAAACCCCCAACUUUCUUCUGUUUUAAACUAAUCUUGUAGUUUCAAAGCAUGCCUGCUUGCUCUUCUAAGGCAGGAUUCUGUGAAUAUCAAGUCUGCAUUCCCUUGUUGCCUGUAGGACUUUGUAAACUUCAAUAAGAUCCUUCUCAGCUGCCUCCUCUUUAAAUUGAAGUGUUCCAGCCUUCUCAGUCGCUUCUUACUAAGGCAGCUCGCCCCUCCCCUCCUCUGGACCCUCCAUAACUCCGCCGCAUUCCUCCUGAGCAGCUGAGACCAGAACUGAGCUCCAGUGCACUGAGGAUUUCUACAAAAGCAAACCAAGGGCUUUGGCAUCACCUGGGUCUCCUUCCUGAAAGCAGCCAACAUUCAGCCAGCCUUUUUGGCUGCUCUUGGACCCUGAGCCGGUGGCUUCAGAGCCCUGUCAAUGACAACGCUGCGAUCUCUUUCCUGAGCUGCAGCUGACAGCUCUAAGCUGAGCAUUGAUUUAAAAUGUGUUUUCUGGUGUUCUGGUAGGAGGUGGUUGUGACUUGCAGGUAUAAAAGGUGACGAGUCAAUAAGUUAUGAAUAACCUGUUCUGGGAAAAUCAUUGCAGGUGUAAUUAUUAACGUGUUUAUGGUGCUUGUUUCCUUCAAGGGGUGGCAUCUUCCUCAGUGUUAGAGCAAUAGAAUGCAACUUCACUAGUAGAUUUAUACCAGAGAGGAGAAUCCAAAGCAGUACUUUGUCUUCUCAGUGCUUCCUUUUUGAUAUUUCACUGAAGUGUCUCACUUUUGGCAUAGCAGUGCUUCCUGAGGGAGUCUGCAUUCCCUGACUGAUCCUGUGAUUGCUGGGGCUGCUGAGCUUCCUACAGGAGAGGCCCAGCACUAGCAGAUAGGGUAAGGCAGCUGCUGAAGAAACACCCAGUGGUAUGGACAACACUCAGACACCCACGUGGCUUUUUUGGGUUUUGAGAUCUCCACCCAACCAGUGAACUUCACGUGACCCCUCCCAACAGCACCACUGGUUUGUUUAAUCAGCGAUUAAAGUGGAAUUUUACUUCCAUUUCCAAACAUACUCUCUCAGGCCUUGUGUUCCCUUUUUGUUUUUUAAUAAAGCCAAGGCCAUAGAAUGCAACAGUCGUUAAAGGACACUGGCAUAACUUUACAAAGGAGGCGUCGCACAUCUGUAUUAAUGUGGUGACUUCAGGGCUGAGGAGCAGAAGCUUUAAGCCCUAUGGAAAGUCGGUAUUCCAGAAAGCGAGAAGCUCAUCGAUGACUAUAUUGUACCAUUUGGGCCUUGGCGCAGACGCGUGUUUUAUUAUAGUGCUGCACGUCGGAGGCUUGUAAAGCAAAAGCUGCUGUUACUUCAUGAUGAAAGAAUCCCAAUCUACCUCUGGUAGCGCAACAACGUUUCGUAGCAGUACUGACAGGCCAGCCCCAUCUCUCCGCCGGUGUGCUGCGACCCCCUUUUUGUCUGCAGGUUAUUGCAAAGGCAACAAAUGGAAGGGAUGGAGAGAUUCGCUGCAGGGUGUAUGUUCUCUGUAGGACAAAGCCGGGGCUGCUGAAUAGCUCUUGUAGAGCCCUUUCCUGGCAGCUCAUGGCUGGUUUUGGCAUCAGCGGUUGGAGCUCUAGCCUUUGUGGCGUGGAAGCCUGGGUCCCCAUCUGAGAGGCUUCACGAAGCAGUCCUCUUAACAACCUCCCAUGUGUUCAAGGUUCAAGAGGGAAACCAUGCUGAGUCAGCCUGGCAGCUGUGUUUCCUGCUCCAGCUCCCUCCUGCAUGAUUCACUCUCUGCCGGGAAGUCUUAGUCCUGGAUGGAAAGUAAGACAAAGGCAGAGGGACACUUCAGCUCUUGCACCACACCACUGGAGAUCGGCUCCUGAUAACCUGAUACCUGGCCUGUUCCCUGGCUGGCCUACAAGUAAUUUUGAAGAAACAAUUAGGGAAACUCAGGGGUACCAAAAGACCCACCUGAGCUGCAGAAGAAUUGCCUUCAGCUGUUAGCAGCGCCAUGCCGGUGCCACACGUCAGGAUGUGCUCCUUCUGGGCAGUGGGCUGGGAAUUCCCAGGGUAGCUUGUUCUCUUGCUGUUCCCUGCAUGGAUUGCUUUUAUACAGGCACUUUAAAUAAAAAGGUAAAUCCUUUUAACUGUGGCGGUUUCAAGAGUGGCCCGGUAGCAGGGAAGGAGGGUAGGCAGAUGAGAAGAGAGGUUUUAUUUCAUGUUAUUGUCACAGUAUAUACACCUCAGCACUGCCAAGUCUUUGGGCGUAGCCGGAGUCUGACAUGGGAAAUUGAUUGUUCAGUGCUGGCCGCCUCUUGGAGCUGGAGCUCUGUGCUGUUUGCCUCGCGCUGAAGUGUGUUGGAAUAAACCCCAGCGAUUGCUGCUAGUUAGCUCAGAGGCUGCCCGAGGCACCUAUCCCACGCUGGUGGGACUUGGUUUUGCCUGGAAAGCAAAUCGUUUACUUCAGCAUCGAUGGAAGUUUGUGAAAAUGCAACUGCACAAUCUCUGCUGAGCUCAGACCUAGAAACUGAGCCAAGAGUCUCGCUGGCUUCAGUUAAAACUUCGCUGUGGUUACAGGCAUCAUGGGAUCAUGUGAUGGUGCAGCUGAUCUUUCCAACAUCCAGCAAUCUCGCUUUAGGCCUCUGCUGCUGCACAAUAACAUGUUUAGAGUUCAAAGCAUCAUCUCCUCGCUAGGGCCGUCCUUUAUUGAUACCCGAAUUAUUGGUCAAGAGUUGGCGAGAAAACUCCUCUGCUUGUGUUCCUGAUCCUGCCAGGCUUCUUCCCAGCGUGUUGGCCCAUCCUCAAAGCCUUCAGCAUCCUCAGCGGAGGGAUUUCUAAAUAAAUCCAGCUUCUCCCUCCAGCACAAAGGCGCUUUCUUUCCUGCAUGGGACAGCAUGCCGUGUCUGUCUAUUCCUCAAGCGCUUGCGUUCUCAGCCCAGUGAGUUAAGGGGGAAAUCAGGUCUAAGCUGGACUCUUGGCCCUUUUGAGACAUGUUGACAGAGAAAUGCAUGCCUUGAAACAACUUGAAAAGAACUCUAGGGGAGGGAGAAGAGGAGGGCAGUGUCAGUUGUGAGCUGCCGCCCUCUCCUGAGAUCUCUCCUCCGUGGUCCUGGCUCUUCUGUGACCUCUUUCUUCCUGCGGGGUAACACAGGGUAAUGGCAGGCAGAAAGUCAGCUCUGCCACAGGCUUGGUCCUCCGGAGAGAUGAAAGGAAAGUGGUUUGGUGUCCAAAUGAAUGUCAUGGCUUUAAAGAAGAAUUAAAACCAGAUGUUUCCAGCAGGCCUGCUGAGGCCAGCCUUUUCUGACAUAUUUACCAAGCCACCAAGGAGGCCCAGCCAGCGCCUGCAGAGCUCCGUGUUGGGAACACCCUGUAAUCCCAGAGGCUCCGCUGCAGUCGCUGGAGGCACCCUGGCUGUCUGGAAGGACAGCACGCAAGAGCUGAGGUAGAGAUAGUACUGCCAGCUCAAUAUUUAUUCAGUGAUUAAACAUAUUUAUUCCUUGCUGAUAAUGGUGAUGAUAGCAAGGGUGUAGUAACCAGACCAAAUUUAGCACCUUUGGACAAAACACUGGGCCAAAAAGGGGUUUAGCUGUGCUGGCAUCGGCUCUCGUUUCAGCUAAGGGCUUGCACCUGCAAGGUUGUGGUUAAUGGAGCCCAGAACAUCUUCCCUGUCCCAGGGACUGACCUCAGACCCCCCUCGGACAGGCUGAUGUUCAGUCUCACGCACAGGUAAGAGCUUUUGCUGCGCAGGGGCUUCAUCAGAACCAGGGAGAAAGUGUUUUAUUCUUGCCUCUCACACGUGGUGUUUAUAUUUGGCUGUGCUUGAAGCUAAUGACCAUUCCAGGGUGGGCAGAACAGGGGCAAAAUACCAGGAAAAGGGAAACUGAAUCCUUGCCUGAGUGCAGUCGGGCAGAGAGCACUUCACAGGGGAGUAACCAAAACCUCAGGACUGCUGGGUGUGUGGUUCCAGCUCACACCCAGGAGUAAUUAAUCUUUUUGCCAGCAUAGCUGCUCCAGGCUCCUGACUACAAUAGGUAUUGCUCUUUUGCAUUCAUCAGCCUGCCUGGUGGUUAUAACAUU